rnacentral:lncRNA from 1 species
UAUGUGAGGAGCAGAAAAGGUUGCCGGAUAAGGAAAGUACUGUUCAUUCUUCAACUAAUUGAGAAGUUCUUGAAUAAUUAUUCAUCAUUCUUUCCUUGCAAAGCAAUUCCACUAUCAUUUAUCAAACGUUUAAAACAGCCAGCAACUAGCUAUUGUUAUUACUAGAUUUUAUGAUUUUUUUUACUGAAUUAUUCAUGGUUAAUUCAGUUAACACUCUUUUUUUUUUUCUUCUUUUUUUUUUAGAGCGGAUGGAUUCAUAUAUGACGAGUACGAAUGCACCCAAUAAAAGCAGAAAGCAAAAUGCCACAAAGUGUUCGGGGCACCUCUUCAUCUCAAGCCUACAGGGUACUUUCGGAGUGACUGGCUAUAUAAGCAGCCCAUCAAUCCGUAGUCCCAUUAGCUUCUCAAAAAAUAUGCUUGGUCUUAAAUACAAAGUUGUCUUAAAUACAAUGUUGAGGGCAGUAGUAUACGUUACUGCCUUGUACUCCAUUGCUAGGUGGUGAAUUUGGCGACUCGGUGCACGCUCGUGGGCUUGGGGCCGAAACAGAGCAUUUCUCCAAGAAACAUCCGUCUCCUCUGGAUUGGACAUAGUGGGCGGUGGGGGAAAGCCCGAGCGUUCCACUCUCGUUCGUCGGUUUCGCGAAUGGCACCCCCUCUCUCAGCCAGCCAUCCGGUGGCGAGGCGUUCCGAGGCAUUGGUCGCGAGGCUUCUUCAGAUUUCGGUGAGGUCCCCAAGAAAUUCCCAUGCAAGGAGAGCACCCACGCAUCGAUAAGUAGCGGUAUAGCGGAAAUGGAAGUAAUUUUAUAGUGCUUGUUUGUGAUUCCCAAAAGAAAAGGGCAUGGAAGUCCCUACAUACUCAAGUGGUUGUGGCUGGGUCGACGUACUUGUGAAAUAAAAGAUAUUUUAAGAAGGAUUAUUUGAUUAUUUACCCCUAUCUUUACAUUCCGGAAAUCCACUAAACAAAACUUGUCAUGAAAAUUUCUCUACGCACCCAUAAAGAGACCCAAAAUGUCUGUCCUAGGGUGUGCACUUAUUAUUAUUAUUUUUUUUAAAGAUAUACUUUUUGUUGCUAUAAUCAUGUAACUCGCAUGCAAAAUUAUACAGCAGAGCUAGUGUUAUGUGCCAUUUAAUUCGUAUAGCACAA